rnacentral:rRNA from 1 species
GGACCCGCACAAGCGGUGGAACAUGUGGUUUAAUUCGAUGCUACGCGAAAACCUUACCAAGUCUUGACAUAGUAAUCGUAUGGCUAGGAAACUAGUCAGUCAGUUCGGCUGGAUCACAUACAGGUGUUGCAUGGCUGUCGUCAGUUCGUGUCGUGAGAUGUUGGGUUAAGUCCCGCAACGAGCGCAACCCUCAUCUUUAAUUGCCAUCAGGUAAUGCUGGGAACUUUAAAGAAACUGCCAACGGAGAAUUGGAGGAAGGUGAGGAUGAUGUCAAGUCAGCAUGGCCCUUAUGACUUGGGCUACACACGUGUUACAAUGGCUGCUACAAUGUGAAGCAAUAGGGUGACCUGGAGCAAAUCAGUAAAAGCAGUCUCAGUUCGGAUUGUACCCUGCAACUCGGGUGCAUGAAGUUGGAAUCGCUAGUAA